CAGUCAUUGUUUGCUGGUGUGGCAUCAUCAAGAUUCACAAGCUCGUACCAUGAGAGCUUCGAACCACACUGAGGUGUUUUUGACUGAGAUUUGAGAAUCUUGAUGAUGCUGCAUUGGCAAUAAAUGACUA
rnacentral:pre_miRNA from 15 species